UACAGAGGUCCCGAGCGUUGUUCGGAUUCACUGGGCGUAAAGGGUGCGUAGGUGGCGAGGUAAGUCGGAUGUGAAAGCUCGGAGCUCAACUCCGAAAUGGCAUUGGAAACUACCUUGCUCGAGGGUUGGAGGGGGGACUGGAAUGCUUGGUGUAGCAGUGAAAUGCGUAGAUAUCAAGCGGAACACCGGUGGCGAAGGCGGCUCUCUGGACCGAUACUGACGCUGAGGCGCGAAAGCGUGGGGAGCAAACAGG
rnacentral:rRNA from 1 species